rnacentral:rRNA from 1 species
AUUGAACGCUGGCGGCAUGCCUUACACAUGCAAGUCGAACGGUAACAGGUCUUCGGAUGCUGACGAGUGGCGAACGGGUGAGUAAUACAUCGGAACGUGCCCGAGAGUGGGGGAUAACGAGGCGAAAGCUUUGCUAAUACCGCAUACGAUCUCAGGAUGAAAGCAGGGGACCGCAAGGCCUUGCGCUCACGGAGCGGCCGAUGGCAGAUUAGGUAGUUGGUGGGAUAAAAGCUUACCAAGCCGACGAUCUGUAGCUGGUCUGAGAGGACGACCAGCCACACUGGGACUGGGAAACGGCCCAGACUCCUACGGGAGGCAGCAGUGGGGAAUUUUGGACAAUGGGCGCAAGCCUGAUCCAGCCAUGCCGCGUGCAGGAUGAAGGCCUUCGGGUUGUAAACUGCUUUUGUACGGAACGAAAAGACUCUGGUUAAUACCUGGGGUCCAUGACGGUACCGUAAGAAUAAGCACCGGCUAACUACGUGCCAGCAGCCGCCGUAACAC